rnacentral:rRNA from 1 species
UACGGAGGAUGCAAGCGUUAUCCGGAUUUAUUGUGUUUAAGGGUGCGCAGGUUGUUUGAUAAGUCAGUGGUGAAAGUCUGUCGCUUAACGGUAGGAUUGCCAUUGAUACUGUUAGACUUGAAUAUGGAUGAGGUAGGCGGAAUGUGUAGUGUAGCGGUGAAAUGCAUAGAUAUUACACAGAACACCGAUUGCGAAGGCAGCUUACUAAUCCAUCAUUGACGCUGAGGCACGAAAGCGUGGGGAUCAAACA